GAUGAACGCUGGCGGCGUGCCUGAUACAUGCAAGUCGAGCGAACAGACGAGGAGCUUGCUCCUCUGACGUUAGCGGCGGACGGGUGAGUAACACGUGGAUAACCUACCUAUAAGACUGGGAUAACUUCGGGAAACCGGAGCUAAUACCGGAUAAUAUAUUGAACCGCAUGGUUCAAUAGUGAAAGACGGUUUUGCUGUCACUUAUAGAUGGAUCCGCGCCGCAUUAGCUAGUUGGUAAGGUAACGGCUUACCAAGGCGACGAUGCGUAGCCGACCUGAGAGGGUGGUCGGCCAAACUGGAACUGAGACACGGUCCAGACUCCUACGGGAGGCAGCAGUAGGGAAUCUUCCGCAAUGGGCGAAAGCCUGACGGAGCAACGCCGCGUGAGUGAUGAAGGUCUUCGGAUCGUAAAACUCUGUUAUUAGGGAAGAACAAAUGUGUAAGUAACUAUGCACGUCUUGACGGUACCUAAUCAGAAAGCCACGGCUAACUACGU
rnacentral:rRNA from 1 species